rnacentral:rRNA from 1 species
AGAGCGAACGCUGGCGGCAGGCCUAACACAUGCAAGUCGAGCGGCCGUAGCAAUACGGCAGCGGCAGACGGGAUAGUAACACGUGGGAACGCGCCCUUCGGUUCGGAAUAACUCAGGGAAACUCGAGCUAAUACCGGAUACGCCCUUACGGGGAAAGAUUUAUUGCCGAAGGAACGGCCCGCGUCCGAUUAGCUAGUUGGUGAGGUAAUGGCUCACCAAGGCUACGAUCGGUAGCUGGUCUGAGAGGAUGACCAGCAUCACUGGGACUGAGACACGGCCCAGACUCCUACGGGAGGCAGCAGUGGGGAAUAUUGGACAAUGGGCGCAAGCCUGAUCCAGCCAUGCCGCGUGGAUGAUGACGGCCUUAGGGUUGUAAAGUCCGUUUUAACGGGGAAGUAUAAUGACGGUACCCGUAGAAUAAGCCCCGGCUAACUUCGUGCCAGCAGCCGC